rnacentral:misc_RNA from 1 species
UCCAACUGGAAAAUAUCUCCUGAACAAUUAAAAUGAGUCUGUCACUUUGGAAGCCACAUCAAGGGAUGAUUCCUAAUUUGUAACUUUUCUUUAAAAGCAAGUUCAGCCACCUAAUAAAGCUUAGUUCACCAAGGAAUCAUGCCAAUCAUGAACAUAAGUCAACACAAGUGCAAUACUAUGAAUACUUUCUUGAACUUGCCAAUUCAACAGAAUUCAGACAGUCAUUGGUUCAUAAUAAGAAAUUAUUUUGCUUGUCAAUCACCUUGUCUUAUUCGUCUUAUUCUUUAUAUAGUUUGAACAUUGAACAAAUAGAAGUGAUUCAUUUCAAAUGAUAUGAUAAAUUAAACCAAGCAUUAUUAGUUCUGUUACUUCAAUAAGCAUUCCUAAAUAAAAGUCAUAUGGCUAACAUGAUACCACCUGAACAGUGCACACAUUUCUGAAAUACUGAAAGAGGUAGGAAAGUAAUUUAGCACACAUCAGUUUACAACGUCCUGUUGCUACAUCAGUACAUCUUUCACAUUUUGUUCUAGGACCUACAGAGCUAAAAACUCAGCUGGUCGUGCUCCAGAUAAAGUUCUGCUGACUUUUCCCAUUUCAUGUGUGAUAAAUGGCAAAGAAAAAAGAAUACAAUAUGAUUAGAGAGAAAGAAAGGGAAAAACAAAGAAAAAAAAAAUUAAUUAACUUACAUCGGCUACAAACAUUGAUUUGA